GCCACUGGGAGUCCUUGCUAUGAGUUUAAGGUGUGCCUGCAGGUUUCCAAAGGGCUGGGAGGGUUGCCUGGUUGGACCCGGGUGGCAGCCAAGCCUGAGGUUUCUGCCUUAGGGUUGACGGUAGGUAAAGUGCUGUGAGCCUGCUCGCAGCCCUGCUCCUGUAGCUGUUCCAAUCUCAACAAGCCUGCCCUUUCUUACCAACCGAGAUGAUUCUCCACAAAGAAGGGUCCAAAGUCUAACAGGAAAGAUGAUAGAACCAGGAGCCUGAGUCCCAGCUGGCUACCUUCUCUCCAAUUCCAUUCACCUGAUGAAAUUGAAAAGUCCUUCUGUUCUACCCAGUGGUGAGAAAUAAAAAAGCAACUCCCUUAACCUGCCUGACCGGUUCUGAGACCUGAAACUUGGCCAACCCCUUUAUAGAAUAUAUAACCCAGGAUACCAGGCCCAGCCCAGAGCCGUCCGCUCUUUGUUCCUAUCAGCAUGGCAAAGCCCAUCGCCCACACCACCUGCCCACCUUCCACUUGCCUCUCUGCAGCAAACCCUAAAGAUUUUAGUGUCUAUUGGCCCUUAGGAUCCAGGCAAAAGCAAAUAGUUUUCAGAGAAGCGUUUUGUAGUGACAAAGAACAGGCACGGGUGCAUAAGUGAAUGACAAUCGCAGAAACAGCCAAUUAACUGGUGAAUCCCUGUGGUCUGCGGGCUCAACCAGGAACGCGUGCGGGAGGCAGAGAAGCAGCUGCAGCCCAAUUAAACUCAGGAGCUGAGCUACCUCGGGAGGGUUCCAGCUUCUGGUUUACCUAAACAGAUCUGGUUUCUCGCAGAACUGGGGGAACUGCUGCACACAGACGCAGAUGCUGAUGCUCGCCCUCCUCGUCACUGCUGGCAACUGAGCUGGAAUAUUCAUGGACGCAAACCGGGAAGACGGAAGGGUCUCUAGACUCACACUUUUCCUGGCAUUGCGGUAGCAGAGAGAUGGUGAGUGUUGGCUCCUGCAAUCGAUCAGCCAGAAGAAACUGUGCCUGUGCCAGGCCCCCGUGGAGGAAGACACGAUUCCAGAAUUGGCACUCAGUUUGCAAGUCUCUGAGAUGCCAGCUGAUCCUUUAGUUAAUGAGCCCAGAGCAUCCAAACCCCCCUAUUAUGGAACAGCUCCGACUGAAUGAUGAUACUAGGCAACCCUGGGCCUUGGCCAUCCUCAUCGGGGCCCAUGAAGUAGUUCUCUUUGUGUCUGUCAUGUUUGAGCUUUCUUCCAUCUGGGAUGAAUUUUCCAACUUUACUUUCUGAUCGAAAUAUGGUCUUCUUCUUCAAUGAAUAAACACCUAUUAAGGGCUUGUUUCCCACCUA